rnacentral:rRNA from 1 species
UACCAGCCCCUCGAGUGGUCAGGAGGUUUAUUGGGCCUAAAGCAUCCGUAGCCGGCUGUUCAAGUUUUCGGUUAAAUCCACACGCUUAACGUAUGGGCCGCCGGAAAUACUGUUCAGCUAGGGAGUGGGAGAGGUAGACGGUACUCGAUAGGAAGGGGUAAAAUCCUUUGAUCUAUUGAUGACCACCUGUGGCGAAAGCGGUCUACCAGAACACGUUCGACGGUAAAAAAUGAAAGCUAAAAAAGCAAACCGG